AAAACCACUUCAUAGCGUCGAAGGUUUGCUAAGGCGUUCUGCGGAGCAGGACUGUGCCAUCGUUGCACUGUGCCAUCGCUGUGUGUGCCAAUAUAUACAGAUCUGUUGUAUAGAUCUCAAGGGAGAUCAGCCGCGUUUCUGAAGGGAGUUCAGGCCUGAAGGGAGUUCGAGGCACGUGGUGUGGAGCUGCUGUUGGAAGAGACACGGAGUUCAAGUUGUGUACAAGAACGGCA
rnacentral:lncRNA from 1 species